rnacentral:rRNA from 1 species
AGGGCACCACCAGGAGUGGAGCCUGCGGCUUAAUUUGACUCAACACGGGAAAACUCACCCGGCCCGGACACCGUAAGGAUUGACAGACUGAGAGCUCUUUCUUAAUUCGGUGGGUGGUGGUGCAUGGCCGUUCUUAGUUGGUGGAGCGAUUUGUCUGGUUAAUUCCGAUAACGAACGAGACUCUGGCCUAUUAAAUAGACGAUAUAUCUAUCUAGUAUAUCGCGCUUCUUAGAGGGACAAGCGGCGUCCAGCCGCAUGAAAUAGAGCAAUAACAGGUCUGUGAUGCCCUUAGAUGUCCGGGGCUGCACGCGCGCUACACUGAAAGAAUCAGCGUGCGUUUUACCUAGUUCGGAAGAACCGGGUAACCCAAGUAAAUUCUUUCGUGCUUGGGAUAGGGAAUUGCAAUUAUUUCCCUUGAACGAGGAAUUCCCAGUAAACGCGGGUCAUAAGCUCGCGUUGAUUACGUCCCUGCCCUUUGUACACACCGCCCGUCGCUACUACCGAUUGGAUGACUUAGUG